CACCUUUGAUCUACCCCACUGCAGAGCACUAUGGGGUACAGGCUGUGGCUGGUGGGGCAUGAGAGCUGGGGAAAAUACCUCUCCAUGGAGAGAAACAAGAAGCGAUGUCUGCUUCUUACCGUCUGAGGAGGAGGAGAGCAAGAUGAGACCAUUUCUUUUCACUAAGCCAAGCCUUGCAGGAGCUGCAAACCUGCGACAGGGCUUAAAAGGAGCACUCAGGAGAAGCCCUGUGUCUCUCUAAGGGCAGCUGUUUAGAAAACA
rnacentral:lncRNA from 1 species